GGAGAAUAGUGAGAGAAUGAGAACUGUGGUGACAACUGUUGUGGUGGAUGUGGCCAUUGUUGUGGAUUUGAGAUGAAUGCGUUCGCAGUAGGAAGUGAGUGAGCAGAGUUGUAAAAUAGUAGUGAUGACUUGCUUUUGGCAGGAGGUGGCAGGUACCUGAUAGAAUAUGCCAAGGCAAGCAGGGUUCAACACCACCCACAUUAAUCGUCCACGACGACAUCAGUUGUGACUGGUUUUUGGAAGAAGAGUUUCAACAGGAAACUGGUAAUGCACAAGCCAUGUGUAUUUCACCAAAUUUUUAAUUUAAGAUUGUGCAUUCUCAUCAGAAAUUGGCUACUUUGGGAAGGGUAAAACACAGAAUACAAGUUCAAUCUUCUACAUG